rnacentral:rRNA from 1 species
UACGGAAGGGGCAAGCGUUGUUCGGAAUCAUUGGGCGUAAAGGGCGCGUAGGUGGUUCUGUAUGUCUACCGUGAAAGCGUACGGCUCAACCGUAUUUUGUCGGUGGAAACUGCAGGACUUGAGGCUGGGAGGGGCUGGUGGAAUUCCCUGUGUAGCGGUGAAAUGCGCAGAUAUCAGGAGGAACACCGGUGGCGAAGGCGGUUCUCUGGGCAUGAUCUGACGCUGAGGAGCGAAAGUGUGGGGAGCAAACGGG